GAAAUAAAAGAUAAAUCAGAAGAGACGAGGAGACCGUGUGUAAUGUUCUGCAAAAUGGUAGUCAUUAUAGACAUCGAUAAGUUUUUGACUCGUGACGAUUUCAAGCUACUUGCAGAAGUGGAAUGGCCGUGGGAAAUUACACAUUUUCUGUUAAAUAAUAAUUGUGUUAACUGUGGUUUACAUACCAAUUAAUCUUUACCAAGGCACUUCAUCAUGCGCAAAAAAUAUAUGAUAUCUUUACCAAGCUUCAUUUUUUUCUGGUGUCGGGGCUGCGGUAUUAUGUCUAUUUAUGACCACUACAUCCCUGAUGAAUGUUAUUAUUGUGUUUAAUUAUUCUACCUAUUGGCUAAAACUUUUCGUACUACAAAUCCAUUAGGUAUUUUACUAUUUAUUAAUUAUAGAAAAAAUAAAUAUCUCUUAUUAA